rnacentral:rRNA from 1 species
GAGGUAAACGGGUGGAUCCGCAAAGUCGGCCCGCGGAAUUCAGCGCGGCGCCGGGCCUGGGGCUGCUUCGGUUCGGGAUCCUCGGACCCGACCGGAGUGCCGCGCCGGGCUCCGCCGCGUGCACUUUCCGCGGGCAGAGCGCCACAACCGGUUUCGCGGGCGGUCAGAAGCCUGGCGGGAAGGUAGGUAGGUGGCGGCAACGUCGCCUACUGUUACAGCCCGUCGUGGCCGACCGUCUCGGGACCGAGGGACUACCGCACGCUUCGAGGCUACCCGGCCUUCCGGGGAGUCGACUGGGAGAGACUGGCAACCGUGUCUUCCGACCGCUCUCUCGCGACCGGAUCGGCUACCAGGCGCGC